GAACUUGCGGAGGGAUCAUUAUCGAG
rnacentral:rRNA from 1 species